AGGGCAACCCUGUAGUGAACAUUUUAAAAAUUUUUUUACUAAAAUUUAACCAACUAUCGUGAUCUGAUAAUACAGAGAAAUUUCAUGAUAACUCCCAAAAAAAUGCAACACUGGGGUUCAUCUCUCAACUGAGUUCAUUUUAUCUAUAUGUCAAGCAGAAGCAUUAUAAUAUUUUGCAAAGAUUACGAGAGGCCUUUUCUAUUUAACUCUUGAAGUGGAAACAUCACCAUUUUAUAAAACAGAUCGAAGACUAUUUUGUGUCUAAAAGUGAGUUACACCAUCAUCUUACCAGGACCACGUGGAACGCUCAACUUGGUUCGCCACGAUCAGCGAAUCUGAAUCCAUACUGUUGCAACAUUUCAUCGUGGAUUCGGAGAAAUUCAUCUAUUACGUGUGAAAAUGGUCAGACACCUCGUUAAAAUACUUGGUGAUCUCCAUUUAAUACAAUAAUACAACUUUCUGGACAACUACAGUUGCAAUAUUGUCCUCUUUGAAGAUUAAGGCAGAAGUAUGGCCUAAAUUAAUAAGAAAAAUAACUUUCGUCUUGAUUAAUUGGCUAUUUAUGCCAAAAAUUUAUGAGCGUGUAGUAAAUAUUUGACUAAUGGUAUUAAUUCAAAGAAAAUUAUAAUAUGUGAAUUAUCCUUUAAAACGUAAAAAGUAAACCUAAAUGAAGUUGUGUUGUAGAUGUGUAACGUACACGUAUUAUUUAAAUAUAAGUUUUUUUAUAAUUAAAGCUUGGUAAAGAGAUUAAGAAUAUUUCAAUAAUAAUAAUACUAAUUUAAUUAUGCUAUAAAAAAAGAAAACACACGUGUAUGGCAACUUAAUGCAUUCAGGGUAUGCAGUUUCUCAUACAUAUGUACAUAUUUCAUAACAUUGUAAUGAUCAUUUAAUUAGCUGCUUCAACAUUAUUGCUGAUCUUCGUGAAGGCCUUCGACGAUCAUCAUGCCAUAAGUGGAAAAUUAAUUACAUUCAUUGACUCUCCUGCUUGCUUAUUCGCAGCAGAGGAUGCUCACCGAUCGGCUGAUCUUUUAGUUUAGCUACACCGGCUCACCUCAUCUGUGAAGGAGCGGGUAGAGUAAAUAUGUAAGAGCACAACUGAUUUG